rnacentral:lncRNA from 1 species
AUGAGGGAUGAAUCACUGUGUGGAAAUAGUAACUGUAGGGUUAUUGGUCUGCAUCAGCUCUGCCACUGGGCACCGACUGCUUGGGGAUGCGGAACACAGGAGUUUGACUGCAAUCAUCCCACAUCACCACUAAGGAGUAACAGGAGAAGACAACAGGAUUUGGGAGCUACACCAUUUAAAUAUAAGCCUGGACUACCUGAAGGUUAUCGCUGAGCAAAGAGUGAAGUAUUUUAGGAGAGAUGUGGAAGAAUGACAACAAAUGGAACAAAGAAAACGGAUCGGGAGAAUAAGGUCAAAGCCCCACUGUCAUGGUGAGUUCAGAGAUAUCCGUGAGCCUGAACAGGGCAGACCAGCUUUUCCUGAGCUCAGAUCUCUCCUCUCUACAAGUCAUCUACAGAAAAGGAAAACGUCAUACUCAAUUUAUUUUGGAGUUUCAACCUCAUUUGAAAAUAAUUGGCUGGC